CCUACGGGGGGCAGCAGUGAGGAAUAUUGGUCAAUGGACGAGAGUCUGAACCAGCCAAGUAGCGUGAAGGAUGACUGCCCUAUGGGUUGUAAACUUCUUUUAUAUGGGAAUAAAACGUUCCACGUGUGGGAUUUUGUAUGUACCAUAUGAAUAAGGAUCGGCUAACUCCGUGCCAGCAGCCGCGGUAAUACGGAGGAUCCGAGCGUUAUCCGGAUUUAUUGGGUUUAAAGGGAGCGUAGGUGGAUUGUUAAGUCAGUUGUGAAAGUUUGCGGCUCAACCGUAAAAUUGCAGUUGAAACUGGCAGUCUUGAGUACAGUAGAGGUGGGCGGAAGUCGUGGUGUAGCGGUGAAAUGCUUAGAUAUCACGAAGAACUCCGAUUGCGAAGGCAGUUCACUGGACUGCAACUGACACUGAGGCUCGAAAGUGUGGGUAUCAAACAGGAUUAGAUACCCUGGUAGUC
rnacentral:rRNA from 1 species